AAUAGAUACCCAGGUAGUCCACGCCGUAAACGAUGAGUGCUAAGUGUUAGAGGGUUUCCGCCCUUUAGUGCUGAAGUUAACGCAUUAAGCACUCCGCCUGGGGAGUACGGCCGCAAGGCUGAAACUCAAAGGAAUUGACGGGGGCCCGCACAAGCGGUGGAGCAUGUGGUUUAAUUCGAAGCAACGCGAAGAACCUUACCAGGUCUUGACAUCCUCUGACAACCCUAGAGAUAGGGCUUCUCCUUCGGGAGCAGAGUGACAGGUGGUGCAUGGUUGUCGUCAGCUCGUGUCGUGAGAUGUUGGGUUAAGUCCCGCAACGAGCGCAACCCUUGAUCUUAGUUGCCAUCAUUAAGUUGGGCACUCUAAGGUGACUGCCGGUGACAAACCGGAGGAAGGUGGGGAUGACGUCAAAUCAUCAUGCCCCUUAUGACCUGGGCUACACACGUGCUACAAUGGACGGUACAAAGAGUUGCAAGACCGCGAGGUGGAGCUAAUCUCAUAAAACCGUUCUCAGUUCGGA
rnacentral:rRNA from 1 species